CGGACGGGUGAGUAACGCGUGGGCAACCUGCCCCGCACUGGGGGACAACAGCUGGAAACGGCUGCUAAUACCGCAUAAGCGCACAGCUUCGCAUGAAGCGGUGUGAAAAACUCCGGUGGUGCGGGAUGGGCCCGCGUCUGAUUAGCUGGUUGGCGGGGUAACGGCCCACCAAGGCAACGAUCAGUAGCCGGCCUGAGAGGGUGGACGGCCACAUUGGGACUGAGACACGGCCCAAACUCCUACGGAAGGCAGCAG
rnacentral:rRNA from 1 species